GGCCGGGAACUCAAAGGAGACUGCCAGUGAUAAACUGGAGGAAGGUGGGGAUGACGUCAAGUCAUCAUGGCCCUUACGACCAGGGCUACACACGUGCUACAAUGGCAUAUACAAAGAGAAGCGACCUCGCGAGAGCAAGCGGACCUCAUAAAGUAUGUCGUAGUCCGGAUUGGAGUCUGCAACUCGACUCCAUGAAGUCGGAAUCGCUAGUAAUCGUAGAUCAGAAUGCUACGGUGAAUACGUUCCCGGGCCUUGUACACACCGCCCGUCACACCAUGGGAGUGGGUUGCAAAAGAAGUAGGUAGCUUAACCUUCGGGAGGGCGCUUACCACUUUGUGAUUCAUGACUGGGGUGAAGUCGUAACAAGGUAACCGUAGGGGAACCUGCGGUUGGAUC
rnacentral:rRNA from 1 species